UGGGAGUUUGGGUCCGUACCAGUAUACUCAUCGAAAUGCAAUUCUUCAUAGCUGCAAUGGAAACUCUUUUGCUUUGAUAGACAGCCCGGCCGUCGACCACGAUGACCCCAAACUUGGCACUUCAUAGCCCUAGGUUAUAGUUAUAUUAUAUUAGAUAUAUAUAUAUAUAUAUAUAUAUACAGAGAGAGAAAGAGAGAGAGAGCGAGGUGGAGAAUUUGGGGAGUUGGUAUCUACUUUCUAGAGCUAAAUUCACCGCUCAACCCGGCAAAAAUUUUGGAUCAGGGUGAGCUUAUUUCGUUUGUUCAGUGACAACAAAGAAAAACACUUUAUUAGAACUUGCAUCGUCUGUCCCUAUAAAAGAUCUCAGAUAUGAAUAACGAUGGCUCCUGUAAUUUCAAUUGAUCACCGGGCAUUGUGUGACAAGAUGGGUCAUAUCGUCCAUCGAUGGCGAUGCUGCUUUCGAUCAACUGCUUAGGCAGCGAUCCGUCCUGAAAUUUGAGAAGCUAUGAUAGACAGUAGAAGAACACAAAACGAAGCGUGAAAAUUUGAGAAAAAAAAUGGCCUUUUGAAGCAAAAGUAGGGACGUGGAAAAACAAGCUCCAACUCGGACCCUGCUCAGAUAUCCUGAACAGGGCCCUGUCCGGAAUAAGCUCGUAAACAAGUACCAAAUCGAACCCUACGUAGCCUAGAUCCUUCUNNN
rnacentral:lncRNA from 1 species